rnacentral:rRNA from 1 species
AGCUACCUGGUGACAGGAUGCGAAUCUCGAAAGCCGGUCUCAUUCGGAUUGCAGGCUGGAACUCGCCUGCAUGAAGUUGGAUUCGCUAGUAAUCGCGAAUCAGAAUGUCGCGGUGAAUACGUUCCCGGGUCUUGUACACACCGCCCGUCACACCAUGGGAGUCAGUAACGCCCGAAGUCAGUGACCCAACCUUAGGGAGGGAGCUGCCGAAGGCGGGACGGAUAACUGGGGUGAAGUCGUAACAAGGUACC